UUCCUUCCUUCCUUCCUCGCUCUCUCUUUCUCUCUCUCUGUUUUGGAAAUGAGCUGCAUGCGGUGAAGUUCUUUCUAAACGCUUUCCAGUUCAGGCAUAGUGAUUAAGAUGUUUUCAAUUCCCCUCUCUGUUUUUUUAAGAAAGAAAAGGUUUGGUUUGAUUCCUUCUUUUUUUUUAAAAAAAACUGCUACUUUUUGAGAGAGCGGGCGGUAUAGCCACUUUUGGGUUCACCAUGUGCUUUUUCUUCUAGGAACUGGCGGGGGGGGAAGAGAAUUUGGGAAACUUUUUGGGUGCAACUUGGCAACUACAGAUUUAAGGCUGCAAUCUUCUGCAUAUUUUCCUCGUCGUAAAUCCCAUUAACCUCAGCGAGGUUUACUUAUGAGCAAACAUGGAAAUAAUUGCACUAUUUGUGUUUCCUUUCUAAGACGAAAUAAAAAUUUUUUUUAAAGCAGUGUAUAGAUUUCCAAAUGGUUUCUACAGAAACACUUUCCUUCCUGGAUUGUGUUUUCUGCCUUAAAUCUCACAUCCCCCCCAAAAAAUCAGAUACAACCUCCAAAUCUUUAGAAUAGUUUAAAAAAUGGACCAGGAAUGUCAUUCUGUCCCAUUCACUCGUUUCCCCCCCUCCCUCCUGUGAAAUACGACGUGGGAUCCCCACUCACCACGGGAUGUUGUGCAUUUGGAAAGGGGGGAUACCUCAGUUUCUUCAGCGUUUUGAAUCUGGGGUUUUUGUUAUCUUAUAGAAUUGGGAGGAGGGAGGCAGGGGAGUUUCCGGUUUUCUCCCUUCUCACCCCCCCUUUGGAUCUUAGCUGGGGAAUUCCCCCCUCCUCCUCCUUGGCUAGGUGCUUGCGAGUUAGGGAAAGGAAUCCCCUUUCUUCCCCACCCCCGGACGCCAGAGGCGAGGUUCUGAAUGGCUUCCUGCCGAGCCAUUUGUGCGGCUCCGCCGUGCGCUCAGCAGGGCUGGAGGUCGAGGCGAGUGGAGGAUGGUGGUGCGGUUUCCCGCUGGGAGGUGGUGGGUUGGUCGGGAGGUGGCUGCGCCAAGGCGGGCGAGGAAGAGCCCACGGGGGACUCGCCCAGGCCAGACGAGGAAAGCCAGCCGCUCCUGCAUGGCGCCGGGAUCUGUAAAUGGUUCAACGUGCGGAUGGGCUUCGGCUUCCUCUCCAUGACCACCAAGGAAGGCAUCGCCCUCGAAUCCCCCGUGGACGUUUUCGUACAUCAGAGCAAGCUCCACAUGGAAGGCUUUCGCAGCCUGAAGGAGGGAGAGGCAGUCGAAUUCACCUUCAAGAAGUCCUGCAAGGGUUUGGAGUCCAUCCGAGUCACCGGCCCAGGAGGCGUGUUCUGCAUCGGCAGCGAGAGGAGACCCAAAGGGAAAAACCUCCAGAAACGCAGGCCAAAAGGAGAUAGAUGCUCCUGGUACAUGCUGCUGGAACAAUGAAAAAAAGCAAUACUGUAAUAAAAAAUAUACAGAAAAUAAAGAGAACAGUAUGCAAAAAUUACAAAAUACAGACCUCACCCCUUCUGUGUUUCCAGAUGCCCAGCUCUCAAGACUGAACAUCUCUAUACUCACCUGAGAGCCACACCUGCAUCUUGCCACCACAUCUUGCCAUCACACAGUACUGUUUCCCUCUCGCCAAAUGAAAAGUCAAGUGUGGGUUUCUACAAUGCCCAGCCAUGUGGCAAGGCAAGGCAGCAAAUUUUGGUUGCCACUCAAGGGUGGCAGAGUGGGAGACAGGGAGAUCUUGACCCACAAUCUGUCGGGAAGUUUUCCUGUGUGGGCCUCAUUGAAUCUUGACUACUGAGCCCUCACAGAGCCCUUGUUCAUUUCAGUGAGGCCGGCAUGGGAGAUUGUUGCACUAGAUUGUGUCCUACCUAUGUUAAGGCCACAUCCGCAUUAGACAUUUAAAGCUGUACUACACCACUUUAACAGUCAUGACUUACCCCAAAGAAUCCUGGGAACUGUAGUUAGGAGACUCUAAUUCCCUUCAUAGAGCUACAGUUCUCAGAGUGGGUUAACAAUCAAUCCCUCUUCCCAAGGAGCUCUGGGAAUUGUAGCUCUGGAGGUGGAUGGGGUCUCCUAACAACUUUCAGCACCCUUUACAUUUCCCAGGAUGCUUUGGGGGAAGCUGUGACUCUUUAAAAUGGUAUAGUACAGCUUUAAAUAUAUAGUGCAGCUGGAGCUUAAUUUAGAGCAAGGAUCAGAGUGCAACUUCAGGCAGUGAAAUGCCUGGGGCUGGCCGUGGCUUUCCAUAUCGCUCUGGCUUUUUUCUAAUUUUUCUGUGCUCAAGUUAGUCAGAGAGCCUGGGUGUCCUGGGUGUGUUGUUGCGGUGCAACCACACUGAGAGCAUCCCAAGAGGAGUCCAGGCAUUCUGUUUUAGCCAAGUACUGCAGAUGAAUGGCAGCAGGGAGGCCUAGGGUGAUAGUGCUCAAAUUGUCUCUGAAUCUUAACACCUCCACGCUAGAUUCACUAGAGGGUACAGCAGGGGUGGGGGAUCUUGGGCCCUCCAGAUGUUGCUGGAUUGCAACUCCCAUCGUUCUUGCACACUGGCCAUGCUGGCUGGGGCUAUUGGGAGUUGGAGUCCAGCCACAUCUGGAGGGCCACAGGUCCUCACCCUUGGUCUACAAGUUUAGGGUAUAUCUCACUUCUACAUUCUGCUGUUGCAGAAAAAAUGGGGGUUAAUAUUUUCUCUUUAGCUGUUCCUGCGUAGGGCUUACAGGAUUAGUCUCUUCACUUAAUGAGGACCUUUAAGAGUUCAGAGGUCAUAGAAAGUUUCUGUCUUGAUCUUCAGGCCCCACUCUCAUUUAUCACAACCCACCUUUUUUGACCUAGGUGAGGGACUUAAGUCAAACGUCAGUUGUACCUGAGGAGGGUUCCACAAUGUGAGUGAUGCCCUGUGUGUGGCAGAGUUCCAUGUAGCUUUCAGACACUGGGAGCCUGAAGAAACCGGCAGGAGCUGGAGAUACUUUGGCAGACCAGUGAGGGAAGGCAUACCACUUUUGGGGAGUGGGGCGGGUAAGUAAGAAAGGAAGCAGCAUUUGCAAGGAGGGAUGGUUCACAGGCAUGGGAAGUGGAGGGUUCCUUUGCUCAGGGUAGGGGGGAAAAGCUGCCCGCUUAUCUCUUGACUUGUUGAUUCGGUGGUAUAGUUCCAAACACAGGUUCUGCUCUUUAGUUGUACUUUGUAGGGUAGAUAAGCCAAGGCAGGAAAUGGGAAGAGUUGGUUUUGACCCUUUCCAAGAUGGAUGAAUAGCUUGGGUUGGGUGAAGUGAUCUGUUAUUUUGGAUCAGAGUGACCAGCCUUCUCACAGCUGCUGAGAUGUGAAUUUACUGAUAGAUAUUGAGGGGGACUUAAAACCAUCAAAGUGGAAAGUGAAAUUCUUGGCUAAUCUCCAGAGCAUCAGCUAUUUCCUAUGGGCAGAAUUUCCUACCAAAGGAUCAAGUACUUUGAAUAACUAACCAAGGAGGCAGCACCCAUUUAUAAAUAACCUGCGUUGCCAGACAAUUUAUUUCUGACAAAAUCAGAGCUCAGAGCUAAGGAAUUCUUUAUGCUCCCCCUUGCUACAUGGUCUGCAAACAUUUUCAUAAUGCAAGAAAGCAUUUGAUUGUGGGCUUAUGGUCAAGAUCUAAAAUUAUCAGGAAUACAGAGCCAAAUAUUAGAUAAUACUCAACUGCCUGUAGCUGAGAGCAGUUCUUCCCUCCUUUCCUUCUCUCUGUUUCCUGUGUUGGAGGAAUAGUGAUUGCAGUGGGGUGGGUGAAAUAUACUGGAAGUUGAUUUGAAAUUGCUGUGGGGAUCUCUACCAUAUCUACCUCAGGAUAACCUAAAUGUGUCAAUGGGGCCAAAUGCACUGGAUUGUAUUAUUUGCUCUGAGUUGACAGGAAAAAAAGGGAUGCUUCCGCAGAGUGUGUCCAAAGAUGAAAAUGCUGCCCCUUCUAGUUUUUUAUCUGUCUUUAAAAAACAAAACAUAGUAGCAUUGUUUCCCCUGUCCCAUUCUAGAUACUUAGUAUGUGUAAAUAUCUUGUGUAAAUCUUUCUGGCUUCUUUCCAGUUUUCCUCUUUGAUGAUUGUUUACAAACUUGAGGAGAAAAAAAAAUGGCCAUAGUAUGUGAUGGGCAUUUGCACCAGUGGGGUGGGGUGGUGGUAGCCUCUUUGUACCUUACCACUUCGCAACUUUGCCAUGAGAGCUGGUUGGGGGAUCCCUUCCCAUCUCUUCCUACAACCAACACGAGAAUUGGAUUUCUGAAACAGUGAUUUAUCUACUUUAUAUGUUGGGUGAAGAGGAACCUUGUCCUUAAGAAGUUGAUGGCAGCUUCUCUGCUCUCUAGUUUUCAGAAUUGUUUUGGAAAACUGUCAGGUCCGUCUCCCAGGUCUUGUUGAUGAAAUGAUGGUUUCUGAAACUCUUUUGAAUGCAAAUAAAUAGCUGCUUGGAAUAAGCAAUACCAUGACCGUUUUAGACAGUGAUGGACACUAUGCAUUAGGGGUAAACAGUGUGAAUUGCAGGCAGGCUUGUGCCAUGUCUGCACUCAGGGUCACUGUGGAAUAGGGGGUACUGAAUGUACUGGGGUGGGAAGGGUGGCAGCGGUGGGGGCGCACGCGAUGACUUCUUGCGUGGCUACAUGAUUGUGUACUAGGAGACAAACGAAUGUAAUUCCCAUGUUUACUGCUAGCGACCAAAGCUUGUUUUGUGUCAAACUCUUGACUUUUUAUGAAG